UCAGCAUCAGUCGUAAUGUAUUCAUGUUUGGUGAUUCAUAUCCACAGUUUAGUUUAGAGGCAAACUCAAAGGUUCACUGUAGCGCAAAAAUUUUGCUCCGACAUUUCAGACAUUUUCCUCUGCUGGCGAACAAGCAACGAUGUCACAGCGUUUCUUUGAAGGAACUGAGCACGCAACUCUUUACGCAAAAUCCCGACCAAAUGCGCCUCCUGGACUUGCCGACAAGAUUGUCAGUUUUUUGAAUGAAAAGUAUCAAGGAGACUUGGAGUUGUGUUUGGAUGUGGGAUGCGGAAACGGCCAGUGUAGUGGCCUCUUUUCCGGCUCGUUUCGCAAAGUGUUGGCCACGGACAUUAGUCCGUCGCAGAUAGAAGUGGCCAAAACGCUCAAUUAUCCAACCAACGUCGAAUUUCAGGUCAGUCCAGCCGAGAUAAGCUCAGCCAAAAAUGAGUCUGCUCAAGUUGUAGUGGCUUGUGUGGCGGCCCAUUGGUUCGACUUACCAGCAUUUCUCAAAGAAGCCGACAGAGUACUCUGUCAGAACGGAGUCGUGGCUUUGGCGAGUUACUUUCUGCCAAUUGCGGUUCAUCCCACAAAAUCUGACCAACUCAACGACGCAAUCAGACACUUUUAUUUUGAAAGUCUCGGUCCUUAUUGGGGCAGCGGUGUCCGCCACUUGGAAAACGAAUACGGCGACUUUACAAUCCUAUAUGCGGAAACUGUGCGAGAUGAAGUUUGGACCGAUGACGAGCCUUACACUUUAGCCAAAGUAGCUGCCGAUUUGGAAUCAUGGUCUGGUUUCCAGAAUUUGUGUCGAGAUAAAGGAGAAGCUGCCGGGCGGGAAGUACUUCAAGAAUUCAUUUCAAAGUGCUUGAAAUCGUUGGGAGCCACAGACGAACCAGACAAGGUGGAAUUCAAAUUGAAGCGGAAAUAUUUCAUUUUGAUGGGGCGCAAAGCCUGAAAAACGUUCCAUAGCACAUCUUGUUGCUGUUACUUGCGGUAUUGUGGACACUGGACAGCUUCAGACGGACUCACGACAAAAUGCAUUUCACCGGCCGUCUUCGCAAUACAAGAGAUUAAUUCAACUCUCAAAUUAAUCGUUUCAUAGUUUUUUUAUGCCGUUAGCCCAUUACGUAACAGCGGGUAGAACCUGAGAAGAUGAAAAGUUUUUUUGUUAAUAUUGUUUUUUUUUUUUCUAUUUGCCUUUAUCUACUUUAAUCGAAAACUCCGAUAAUCUGUAAAGCUGAGAUAAAAGAAUUGAUGCGCAGUACGUAUGUAUGAGAUAUCAAAACAAAGAACGGGGUGCUGUGUGUUUCUUUUUAUUAUUCAAAAUUUGAUACCAUUUUGUUUUGCCUCUCAGUACUCCAUCAGACAUCAUUCAAGUUGAAAAGACACGCGCUUAUAUUAUUUCAAGAUAACAUCAUUUAGUCUGAAUUGGCAGCAGCUACUUUUUCAAGUCGAUUCGAGCUGAUAAUUAAUUCAUUUCGCACUUUCACAAGGAAAAAAUG